UGCUUUGGAAGCAAAACUGCUCAAACUACAGAAAGGAACGGCUUUGGAUUUGGAGAAGAGCUUUUGUUUCCCUUGCAACUCUAGUUUAAAAAACUUGGGGAGUGGAGCCAAGCCAGCCUGAUAACCGGAACAUGUCCAGUAUAACCGGAGAACCAACUCGCACGACCUGAGGCGGUUUGGGGGGACAAACUGACAACUUUGCCUAAGAUGGCUGCGGCCUAUUUACCAGGCUGAUGCUCGGUUAUGUAACAGAAAUGAAGGCCGUCAGCAAACCCAUUUUAACCUUCCUUCAAAAAGCACUAAAUAGUACCUACUGUACUCCCGAGAAGACAUGAAAGGUAUUUAAAAAGCUACUAAAAAAUUCCCAAGUAAUGGCCCUGAGUUCAGGGGAGUAGUUUGCUCUACUUAAAUGUGAUUUUGUUUUUGCCUAAAUCUUCAGCUCAAGUCUACUUGCUAGUAAGUUUUGGAUAUUUCUGGGUACACAGUCGAUAAUUAAGUUGCCUGCACUGUCACGAAAAAUCUAGAAAGUCUUGGCAAGCUUGGUUCUAUUUUUAACCCGUCCGAGGGACUAUUUUUGCUUCCCUCACAAAGGCGGCGGAGGGUUAUUGAGGCCGCGGUGUGCUUCGGCUUUCGGCUAUAAAUACGCCUCUCCGGGGGCUCUGCGGCAGGCUUUCAGGCAGCGAGCGCAGAGACGGCUGGGGAGGCAGGAGGCCCUGCUUGAGGAGACGCAGAUAAGUUUUUCUCUUUAAAAAGAAACCUAGGAAUGAAUACAGUUCUUUAGGAAGUGUAAAUAGUGCUAAAACUUAAUGAAUUGCAUAGCAUUAAAUUAUUAUAGUAAUCUUAAAAAGAACUUAAAGGGAAAAUAAUGAAGACCUUAAAGAGUAGCUUAAGAAAGAAAAAGCUUUUUCUAGAACCAGACGGAGGCUAGGAGGUGAAACUUCUUAAUGGAGUAGAGAAAACCUAGUUUUUAAAGAAAUUGCUUAAAAGGACGGCAAAGUCCGGGAUUCAAAAAAUCCGUAAAUCGAAGGGCAGCCAUUUAGGUUGACGUUAAAAUGUAAAUGACCUAAAUAGAGCUUAAGUGUCUUUUUUUAAAAAAGCAAGUUGUAGGUGACUUUUGUCUUUUAAAAAGAUCAACUUUAAGGUGAUUUAAGAGCCCUUCAAAUUAAUGGCGCAGUGAUGAUUGCAUCAUUUGCAACCUAGAUCUUAAAGUAGGACUUCCUAAAAGCUGACAAAUAACUAGGAGUGGUAGGAUGAAAAUUUGGAGAGAUUAGAAAAGAAGUGGAGAACUCAGAAGACAGAAGUACAGGAAGGUGAAGACUUAAAGACAAGUACAGGAAGGUGAAGAAAAGAUUUAGAGAAGAUAGGAAAAUUGGAAGAAAAAUUACACGCCUUUUAGAAGACAGAAAAAUACUAUAAACCCUUGAAGGCAGGAAGCAGAAGAAAAGAUAGAGAAACUAGAAAAACAAGGCAACUAAGGUCUCAUAUACAAGUUGAGAAAGCCAGAAGUUGGAAACGAGGUGGAAAAUGCGGGCAGGGCAAGUAUUUCAGGUAGAAAAUGGAAAACAAGCUAGGACAACUAUUGAAUACAAGCGCACAAGAUAGACCUCAAAAAAGAAGAUAGGAAAGUCUAAGCCAAAAAAUUGGAUAAAGUACAAGAAAAGAAAAGCUAAGGAGGAAACUAAUUUUUAAAUUCUUAGUGGAAUUUCUCCUGAAAGCCCAUGAAUUUAAAUUCUGGUGGUACAGAAGCUAGAGUUGAGAAGAUGAGGGUGUUAAAACUACUGUAGCCCGGGACCAACUUAGAAGAAUUAACCCGGAGCUAGAAGGGAAAGUUGAAAAUCCGUUGUACAACUUUUGCUGCUAAAAGGACUGAAGUUACUUAAGAACCCAGGUAGAAUAUUUCUGGAGAGUUAAAAAUGUGAGUUUAAAUACAGUAGCUUUUAGUGUCUUGGAGAAUUUAAAGAACUUCUCAUAACAAGUAAUUCAAGAUCAAGAAUUAACUACCACCUUAACGUUUUCACUUUGGACUCUGAGCUAAGCUUUUUUAAAUCCUGAGGACUAGCGUUAAUUGGCAGCUGACCCAGGUACUACGCAGAAGUGGAUUCAGUGAAUCUAGGAAGACAGGAGCCGCAGACAGGAUUCCAGGAGCCAGUGUCGUGAAGCUAGGACUGAGGAGCGAGCUGCAGCAGUUCGUGGUGAAGAUAGGAAGGAGAGCGAAGUCCGGGAGCCAGUGCGGUUUGGUGAAGGAAGGAAGCUAGGAAGAAGGAAGGAGCCCUAACGAUUUGGAGGUGAAGCUAGGAGAGGAUUCCAGGAAGCAGGAGCCCGUGCGAUGUGGUGAUGAAGCCAGCGAGCGGCUGGGCUUGGCGACCACGCGAGGCGGCGAGCAGGCGGUGAGGAGGAUAGAUAGAGGAUCCUAGAGCAGCGUCCCGGUGCGAGGCCGCAGGGAGAGCGAGUGUGCGGGAAAACCCCGCGAGGUCGGCUAACGUGCUUUUGUAACUGCAGUAUGGUAACGUUUUACUUGCCUUUCUCCUGGUAUCGGGGGCGUUGAGUACUUAAGCGCUGAGGGAUUUACGGGGUGUAGGCCGAUUUCCGGGUGUUGCAGGUUUCUCUCUUUCAGGCUUGUUUUCUCCUCUUGUCUGAAGCUUUUGAGGGCAGACUUCCAAGGCCCGGAGGAAUGGUAGAUGGCAAGUUUUUUUGUUUUUAACCAAUUGGAGGGAAACCAAAUGAAUUUGUUAGAACAGCCUUGAGACCAGUUUUAUAAGUUCUUAUUUUUAGUUGGGGAUAAUGAAGCCUUUCAGUUUUGUGAAUAGAUGACCUAUUUUUCUUCCCUUACCCCUAUUAAAGUUUAUACUGAAUGUGGAGUUGGGUGUGUAGCGGGGGGGGGGGGGGUUUGGGAUGGGGGGCAAAAUAUGUUUUAAGUUUUUUUCCCCUUAGGUCUGUCUAGAGUCCCAAAGGCAAAUGACUCAAGGUAACAGAAAAAAAGAAAAUCCAGUAUCAGGAUAAUCAGAGCACCACAGGUUUACAGUUUCUAGAAAUAGAGCACGAGCAGCCCUCACUUUACAGUUCUGUGGCGGAGCUGUCCAUUGGAGAAUGGCUGGUAGUUCUCUUUUUUCCACCCCUUUAUCAAAUUCUUAAUACAUAAUCCUUUAAAUUCAUUAUAUUUACUUACUGUUUUGGGGUGGCCUUACCAGGGAAGAGGGUGGGGGAGAAAAUUUUCUUUCUAAGAUUUUCCACAGAUGCUAUAGUACUAUUGACAAACUGGGUUAGAGAAGGAUUGUACUGCUACGCUGUUGGCACGAACACCUUCAGGGAUUGGAGCUGCUUUUUUCCUUGGAAGCGUAUUCCCAGUUGAAGCUGAAAUGGUACAGCACAGUGCAGCUUUGGUUCAUGUUCAAUCUUCUCAGGAGCACUCAGAAGAGCUUGACUAGGCCAAAUGUUGAAGUUACGUUUACGUUUUCAAGUAAUGUGACCUUUAACUUUUAUUAAAGGGGAGGGGCAAAGUUUGGCAGUUGGCCUUAGCGUGUUAAUGGUUGGGAUUUGGGAGGGCUGGGGUUAGGUAAUUGUUUAGUUUAUGAUUUCAGAUAACUCAUGCCAGAGAACUUAAGUACUUAGGAUGGAAAAACUAAAGAAAUCUCAACUUCCAAGUUGGCAAGUAACUCCCAAUCCUCUAGUUUUUGUUUUCCCCCAGUUUUUGAAUUGGGCAGCUGGGGAAGUUCAUGAAGAUCCACUGGAUUCAGCGUGUAGGGCCUGGGGAAGGAAAGUAUAGGACUGGGGGUUGGUCUAGCCCGUUGGCUGACUUAGAUAAUAAUACCUUGGGAAUUUUUUUUUUAAAUGGCUAAAGUUGUUUGGAUAUGGUAGUGUGUGGUUCUCUUUUGGAAUUUUUUUCAGGUGAUUUAAUAUAACUUAAUACUACUAUAGGAGCUUCAGAGCAAAGGAAGUGGCUUAAUGAUCCUGAAGGGAUUUCUUCUGAUGGUAGCUUUUAUAUUAUCAAGUAAGAUUCUAUUUUCAGUUGUGUAUAAGCAAGUUUUUUUUAGUGUAGGAAAAGUAUUUUGCCUUUGUAUGACUGCAAACAAGAUGUUAAGGUAUGCUUCAAAAUUACUGUAAAUUGUGUAUUUUAAUCAUUUCUGAUAAAAAGAGGGUGGGGUUUUGUGGAUGAGGGAGGGGAAACCUUUUUUUUUCUGUAGCCUUUUUUCAGAUAACAACUUCUGAGUCAUAACCAGCCUGGCAAUAUGAUGGCCUAGAUGGAGAGGGAACAGCUCCUUGGUGAAUGAUAAGUAAAGGCAGAAAAGAUUAUAUUUCAUAUCUCCAUGGGGGAAAAAGCAUAACCCUGAGAUCCUUACUACUGAUGAACGCGUUGUCUGCAUAUGCAAAAAAAAAAAAUUAAGCAAAUGAAACUACCAAUUUAAAGUUAAUGGAAAAAAAAGAAAAAUAAAGAUAAUGGAAUCUACCAUUUUAAAAGUUAUGGCCUAUCAAGCUAUACCCACCAAAAAAAGAAUUGAUGAGAAAUAAUAUAAUGAAUUGAUGAGCAAUACGACGAAGAUCAAAUGUCCAUCUCAAAAUACUGCUUUUACAAAAGCAGAAUAAAAAAUGAAAUGAAAAUGAUAAUACCAACAUUAAUCCUGGAAUAAAAGAAGCUGAAAUAAUUCAGAGUGGGAUCAAGUGGAUUAAGAGGAGGCUGUGCUGUUUGCCAAUCUUUCGUUUGCCUCAGACAGGUUUCUCUUCAUUAUCAGAAGAGUUGCUUCAUUUCAUCUGGGAGCAGAAAACAGCAGGCAGCUGUUAACAGAUAAGUUGAACUUGAAUAUGCAGUAUUGCAUGUUAGGGCUAAGUGCUUAUUUUUAAUAAAAGCUGUGGAGGUCUUAAGUAUUGAACAUGGCUGUUUGUCCUGAUCCCUUUCCUAAGGGAUUCUAGGAUUGUGAGGGAUUUUCCUAUCUAGCCUUUAAAAGUACACAGGACUCGUACCUGUGGCUUGCAUGAUGGGAUAGCAUACCUCACUCAGGCCAAGUAAUCUUUAAAAGCCUUGAAAGGUAGUACCUUAAUCGUAAGACAGUAUUUAUAAAACUAAGAAUUGGUUGAGCAUUGACUCUCUUAAA